GAAAGUACCGGUGCCUCCUGCCAAAAAGCCAGAAGCUCCACCUCCUAAAGUGCCUGAGGCUCCCAAAGAAGUUGUUCCUGAAAAGAAAGUGCCAGUGCCUCCUCCUAAAAAGCCUGAAGUGCCACCCACAAAAGUCCCAGAGGUGCCAAAGGUAGCUGUCCCAGAAAAGAAGGUGCCUGAAGCUAUUCCUCCCAAACCGGAAAGUCCUCCCCCUGAAGUGUUCGAGGAGCCUGAGGAAGUUGCCCUAGAAGAGCCUCCUGCUGAAGUUGUGGAAGAGCCAGAGCCAGCGGCGCCUCCACAAGUGACCGUACCACCUAAGAAACCUGUCCCAGAAAAGAAAGCACCUGCUGUCGUUGCCAAAAAACCUGAACUACCACCAGUGAAAGUGCCCGAGGUGCCCAAGGAGGUUGUUCCUGAAAAGAAGGUGCCUCUGGUGGUUCCCAAAAAGCCAGAAGCCCCACCUGCUAAAGUGCCUGAAGUUCCAAAAGAAGUUGUUCCAGAAAAGAAAGUAGCUGUUCCCAAAAAGCCAGAAGUCCCACCAGCAAAAGUGCCAGAAGUGCCAAAGAAACCUGUCUUGGAAGAGAAACCAGCUGUUCCUGUUCCAGAAAGAGCGGAGUCUCCUCCCCCAGAAGUAUAUGAAGAACCUGAGGAAAUUGCUCCUGAAGAGGAAAUUGCUCCUGAAGAGGAAAAGCCAGUUCCUGUUGCAGAAGAGGAGGAACCAGAGGUUCCACCUCCAGCAGUGCCUGAAGAGCCCAAGAAGAUCAUCCCAGAGAAGAAAGUUCCUGUCAUCAAAAAACCAGAAGCACCGCCUCCUAAAGAACCUGAACCUGAAAAGGUUAUUGAGAAGCCAAAACUCAAACCAAGACCCCCACCUCCUCCACCUGCUCCACCUAAGGAAGAUGUGAAGGAGAAAAUAUUCCAACUUAAAGCUAUUCCAAAGAAGAAAGUUCCUGAAAAACCUCAGGUUCCAGAAAAAGUGGAGCUUACACCUCUGAAAGUGCCUGGAGGUGAAAAGAAAGUUCGCAAAUUACUUCCGGAACGUAAACCUGAACCAAAGGAAGAAGUUGUUCUGAAAAGCGUUCUAAGAAAAAGACCUGAAGAAGAAGAACCUAAAGUAGAACCU
rnacentral:lncRNA from 1 species